UACGUAGGGCGCAAGCGUUAUCCGGAAUUAUUGGGCGUAAAAGAGCUCGUAGGCGGUUUGUCGCGUCUGCCGUGAAAGUCCGGGGCUCAACUCCGGAUCUGCGGUGGGUACGGGCAGACUAGAGUGAUGUAGGGGGAGACUGGAAUUCCUGGUGUAGCGGUGGAAUGCGCAGAUAUCAGGAGGAACACCAAUGGCGAAGGCAGAUCUCUGGGCCGUAACUGACGCUGAGGAGCGAAAGCGUGGGGGAGCGAACAGG
rnacentral:rRNA from 1 species